rnacentral:rRNA from 1 species
GUUGUAUGGUUAAGCGACCAAGCGUAUACGGUGGAUGCCUUGGCAGUCAGAGGCGAUGAAGGACGUAGUAACUUGCGAAAAGCGUUGGUGAGCUAGUAACAAGCAUUUGAGCCAGCGAUGUCCGAAUGGGGAAACCCGGCACCAUAAGGUGUCAUCACUAAGUGAAUACAUAGCUUAGUGAGGCGAACGAGGGGAACUGAAACAUCUAAGUACCCUUAGGAAAAGAAAUCAACCGAGAUUCCCCAAGUAGCGGCGAGCGAACGGGGAUUAGCCCUUAAGUCUUUGGGGUGUUAGUGGAAUGUGUUGGAAAGCACAGCGGCACAGGGUGAUAGCCCCGUACACGUAAACUAACCAGAGAUGAAAUCGAGUAAGGCGGCACACGUGAUAUGUUGUCUGAAUAUGGGGGGACCAUCCUCCAAGGCUAAAUACUCCUGACUGACCGAUAGUGAACCAGUACCGUGAGGGAAAGGCGAAAAGAACCCCUGUGAGGGGAGUGAAAUAGAACCUGAAACCGUAUACGUACAAGCAGUGGAAGCGGUUCUUGAGACCGUGACUGCGUACCUUUUGUAUAAUGGGUCAGCGACUUACAUUUAGUAGCGAGGUUAAGCGAAUAGCGGAGCCGUAGGGAAACCGAGUGUUAACUGCGCGUAUAGUUGCUAGGUGUAGACCCGAAACCCGGUGAUCUAGCCAUGGGCAGGUUGAAGGUUGAGUAACAUCAACUGGAGGACCGAACCGACUAAUGUUGAAAAAUUAGCGGAUGACUUGUGGCUGGGGGUG